GACCAGACUCCUACGGGAGGCAGCAGUGGGGAAUAUUGCACAAUGGGGGAAACCCUGAUGCAGCGACGCCGCGUGAGUGAAGAAGUAAUUCGUUAUGUAAAGCUCUAUCAGCAGGGAAGAAAAUGGCGGUACCUGAGUAAGAAGCCCCGGCUAACUACGUGCCAGCAGCCGCGGUAAUACGUAGGGGGCAAGCGUUAUCCGGAUUUACUGGGUGUAAAGGGAGCGUAGACGGCAGUGCAAGUCUGGAGUGAAAGGCGGGGGCUCAACCCCCGGACUGCUCUGGAAACUGUACGGCUGGAGUGCAGGAGAGGUAAGUGGAAUUCCUAGUGUAGCGGUGAAAUGCGUAGAUAUCACACAGAACACCGAUUGCGAAGGCAUCUCACGAAUCCGCGAUUGACGCUGAUGCACGAAAGCGUGGGUAUCAAACAGGAUUAGAUACCCGUGUAUG
rnacentral:rRNA from 1 species